rnacentral:misc_RNA from 1 species
UACUAGGUAGGCAGGCAAG